GAUGAACGCUAGCGAUAGGCUUAACACAUGCAAGUCGAGGGGCAGCAUGGUCUUAGCUUGCUAAGACUGAUGGCGACCGGCGCACGGGUGCGUAACGCGUAUGCAACUUGCCCCACAGAGGGGGAUAACCCGUCGAAAGACGGACUAAUACCGCGUACACUCCAUCUUGGGCAUCCAAGGUAGAGGAAAUGAAAUUCGCUGUGAGAUAGGCAUGCGUCCCAUUAGCUAGUUGGUGAGGUAACGGCUCACCAAGGCGACGAUGGGUAGGGGAACUGAGAGGUUGAACCCCCACACUGGUACUGAGACACGGACCAGACUCCUACGGGAGGCAGCAGUGAGGAAUAUUGGUCAAUGGGCGAGAGCCUGAACCAGCCAAGUCGCGUGAAGGAUGACUGUCUUAUGGAUUGUAAACUUCUUUUAUACGGGAAUAACAAGAGUCACGUGUGACUCCCUGCAUGUACCGUAUGAAUAAGCAUCGGCUAACUCCGUG
rnacentral:rRNA from 1 species